GGGCCACAGAGCGAGACUCUGUCUCAAAAAAAUAAAAAAAAAAAGAGAAAGAAAAGAAUUCCUCCUAAGUCACUAGCUUUUGGCUCUAUCUCCUGAGUGGCAGGUUCUGUCUUGUCUCUCUGAGAUCCUGACUCUUUAAAUAAAGGUUACUUAACCCUAUACCUCUUGCUAGGCAUCUCUUGUCUGAAUUCCUUCCUCCAAGAAGACUAAGAACUGGAGGAUUUCCAUGCCUCUCACAGUGACAGUGCUACCCAAACAUCAGGGUUGUCAUCUAGGCCCCCUGCCCUGCACAGAAAGCCAAUCACCAACAGCAGUGCCAGGGAAGAAGGCCUCAUUCAAGUGCUACAGCCCAGAGAUGGGCGCUCAGUCACAAAUCCCUCUCCUCAGCCCACUAAAAUUAGAAGUUUCCAGAGCAGGGAAGAAAUGUCACCCUGUGUGGGAAAACAGGAAUUAGGGAGAGUGAGGAGGCAGCUAGGCAGUCAUGACUGGUGAGGGGUCUGGCCUCAAGGACCUACUGAGUUUCAGCGCCUUGAUACUGUCUGGGAGGCCCGAUGGUUGGUUUCCUGAGAAAGGAGCUCAGAUAAGACAAAUGUAACUUUCCCAAGUUUUAAGACAGGGUGGGCCAAUUUCUAUGUUUAUUCAAAAGAAACCCUAAAUACUAGUUUUACGAGAAAUUGGGCCCAUGUGAGUAGGCCCCAAAGGGCAAUCCACAGGUGGUGUUCUCCACCCUGCUUUCUCCUCUCAACCCUCUGUAUAGAGGCCCUCUGUUAACACAGGCAGGAGCAGGAAUUUCACACUCUUUUCCUUUCUUUGCUUUCUUCUUUGUCUUUUUUUUUUUUUUACAGUUGUGAUAUAGUUUGGAUCUGUGUCCCCACCCAAAUCUCAUGUUGAAUUGUAAUCCCCAGUGUUGGGGGUGGGGCCUGGUGGGAGGUGAUUGGAUCAUAGGGGUGGUCCUUCAUGAAUGGUUUAGCACUAUCCCUUUGGUGCUGUUCUUGUGAUGGAGUUCUCACGAGAUCUGUUUUUUUUAAAAGUGUGUAGGCAACUCCCUUUCUUCCUCCUGCUCAGGCCACGUAAGAGGUGCCCGCUUCCCCUUUGCCUUCCAUCAUGAUUGUAAGUUUCCUGAGGCCUCCCCAGAAGCCAGCACCAUGCUUCCUGCACAGCCUGUGGAACUGUGAGACAAUUAAACCUCUUCUCUUUAUAAAUUGCCCAGCCUCAGGUAUUUCUUUAUAGCAAUGGGAGAAAGGACUAAUACAAGUUGCAUCAUAUUCCAUGGCCUGGAUGUACCAUAGUUAAUUUAAAUAGCCUCCUUGAAUGAACAUUUGUGUUGUUCACAGUGUUUUUAUAUCUCACAUGUCAAAGUCAAAUACAUUAUAGGAUGAAUCUCUAAACGUUUUAUUCAGGAAUCACAGAAUUGUAAUUCUGGGCGUACACAGACCAGAAAUGUGUUUGGUGUGUCUGACGAACAAAGAGAAGGUUGAAAGUUUUAUUUAAGAAAUGUUACCUAUUGUUUAGAAAGAAAACUUGUGGGCCCUGGUAGAGGUUUGGGGAGCUGGCAGGCUCUGAUGGGUGAGUGACACAGUAGGUAGACCUUGUCUUUGAGUCACGGCAGGUCGUUCCAGCAGCUGUUAGGUGCACCUGAUUGUAAAGUUGCAGCAGGCGUUUCAGCACUUGGGCUUGCAGAUGGUUCUUGGAGCAGGUGCUGUCUGCCUGAGUGGUUUUCCUCUGGCCCUCUGCCUUGACUUAGUCGGGUAUGACCAGAAUAACUCAAUUUAUGAAGUCAACUUUCAUAUACAUGACGCUGCAAUUGUCCCUAAUGUCAUUCCUUACAUAUACCAUUAUACCACAGCUUUCCAGAAAUGAGAUCAAGGGACAAAAGUUAAAUAUAUUUGCAGUUUAUAUGAGUAUUGCCCAGUUGCUCUAUCUGGUCUUUGGACAAUUUUGUCAUUGAGGAGUGAGUGCUUGUUUUCAUGGUGGUGUCAGAAAGAAUGUCCUCUUAUUUACUCUUUGGAUUUUCACCAAUGUGACAGAUGAAAAUGAAAAUAGUAUCCGGGUGUAUUUUUAAUUUGCAUUUUUAAAUUAUAAGUGAGCUUGAGCACUUGAUAUGGUUUGAUAUGUUUGAUAUGGCUAGUGGAUAUUUGCAUUUUCCUGUGAUCUCUCUAUUUAUGUCUCUCGUCCAUUUUCCCGUUUAACAGACAUUGCUUAACAGAAGACAAUAUUUGAGUUGCUGACCAAUCCCGAAAUAGUUGUGAGGUAUGAUAUCAGCAGGACUUGUUUUCCGAGCCUUGAUCAUGACCCUGUGAUCAAAACAGGAUAUAACAAAGAAACUGGCCCAAACCAGCUAGGACCAAGAUGGUGACAUAAGUGACUUCUAGUUGCCCUCAUUGCUCAUUAUAUGCUAAUUAUAAUACAUUCUCAUAAGACACCACAUCAGCACCAUGACAAUUUACAAAUGCCAUGGCAAUGACCCAGAAGUUAUAUGGUUCAUAUAUGAUGCCAAAAAGGCUCAUUACAAUGGAUCUUGGGAGUAAUUUUUCAAGGAAUAUGAACAAAGUCUUCCCUCUGUGGUUAAUUCAUGAAUGCUGUGUUGGAAUAUUCUGGAUGGUCCAGACUUUCCUCUGUAAUCGACGUUGAGCCCUGCACAACUUCAGGAGGGCGCCAGACCUCACUACUCUCAAGGAAAAGGCUGAAGUGGAGGAAUUGAUUCCCACUGAUUUUUUUUUUUAAUUUUUUUGAGACAGAGUCUUGUUCUUUCACCAAAGCUGGAGUGCAGUGGCAUGAUCUCGGCUCACUGCAACCUCUGCCUCCCAGGUCCAAGUGGUUCUCCUGCCUCAGCUUCCCGAGUAGCUGGGAUUACAGGCAUGAGCCACCAUGCCUGGCUAAUUUUAGUAUUUUUAGUAGAGACAGGGUUUACCAUGUUGACCAGUCUGGUCUCGAACUCCUGACCUCAAAUGAUCCGUCUGCCUCAGCCUCCCAAAGUAUAGGGAUUACAGGCGUGAGCCACUCCACCUGACCUUGAUUUUAUUUUUAACCAUCCUGUCUGAGAGAUUAUUUGUGGAGGCUGACAGCAGAUGUGCAGGGUUCAACAGUGCAGUAUGCUGCAUUUCUUCAGCUAUACCUCAUAUUGUAAAGACUGUCCAGGUAACUCAACAAGCGGGAGGUAAGGGUUGCAGGUGGGAUACUGUAGUACACCCCAUUGGUCUAAAGGCACAUUUCCUUCUUUUCCACCCACUGUUGCAGUCCAGCCAGGCAUAACUUUAGGAGAAUGUGGUUAGGUAAACAUGUGCCAUUUGGCACAGGGAUAUUUGAAUUUCCUGGCAUGAGGAGUGGCGGGACUUGGACUAGCUAACCAUGAGAGUGAGUUAGUAGAGAUGUGGAUGCCGUCAUGCUGAUGGCCUGCUCAGAGUAGCACUGGGCUGUAUUCGCCCAAACACCCAACAGAGCCUGGCCAAAUGCAAGGCCCAGUCCGGUCUGGGGACUUCUCUGGAAUGCCUGUGCCAGUAUAACCGGGAAUGUCCCUCAAACAGAGAGAAGCAAAUUAUUAUCUCUUACUGAGCCCUUUGCUAAACAAGAAGCAGAGCCAUGUGGACCUAUGAGAGAUCUGGAGACACAACAUUCCCCAUUGAGGAAUACACCGCCCUUGCUAUUCUGAAUUCAAAUGGGUCCCUGAACCAAUAAAAGCAUGAAUGUAUUUUCAAGAGGUGGUGCAUGCAGCUUCAUGCAGGCCUCCUGAGCCAGUCGUCCAGAUGUGGUUAGGAAUGUCUGCUAUCAGGACACUUGCUGCCUGGGAACCCUUGGCAGAGGCCAGCACUGCCACCCAGCAGGGACCUCUGGUGUGUUGCAGCUGCUCCUCAAAUGCCUCUGGAAGACAAUAGCAACUUACGACUUCCUUACCAGGAAACAGCAUCAGAUAGCCUUCAAACCAGAAAUGCCUCUCAUGUCUUGAUGUCAGAGAACCAUUCUACCAAGAGGAGGAGCAGCCCAGCAAAGUCCAUCAAACGGUGAGAGUAUAUUCCAGAGCAGGGGGCAGGAGGACGUUAGGGGAGCCUGUGGCUUCUGCAGCAGAGGCAAUAGCAGAAGGAGAGGAGAGGGAGGAGCAGAAGGAGAGCAGAGGGAGAGCAGAGGGAGGAGCCUUCAAGGGCUGCUGUGUGUUCGGAGCCCAGCUAAAGCCAAGCAGGCCUCUGAGCUCCCUGCUAGGAGUUCAUGUCUGCAGGGCAUGUGGCUGCUUGGAAAUUAGCCAUGUAGACCUCACAGUCUGUCUUUGCCAGAGAAAGGCAGGGCAAACCAUAUUAUACACCUUUAUAACAUUGUUUCAAAUCCAGAAGUGUGAUGCCUCCACCGUUGUUUUUCUUUUUCAAAAUUGCCUUGGCUAUUUUUUUUUUUUUUUUUUGUGGUUCCAUGCCGAUUUUGGAUUUUUUUUCUUUUCUCUCUUUUUUGAUGGGGAGGGAUGGAGUCUCACUUUGUUGCCCAGGCUGCAGUGCAGUGGCACAAUCUUGGCUUACUGCAACCUCUGCUUCCCGGGUUCAAGGGAUUCUACCACCUCAGCCUCCUGAGUAGCUUGAGACUACAGGCGUGUGCUACCAUGCCCGGCUAACUUUUGUGUAUUUAGUAGAGUUGGGAUUUUGCCAUGUUGGCCAGGCUGGUCUUGAACUCUUCACCUCAGGUGAUCCACCCACCUCGGCAUCCCAAAUUGUUGGGAUUACAGGCGUAAGCAAACGUGUCCAGCCAGAUCUUUCUUCUAUUUCUGUGAGAAAUACCACUGAAAUUUUGAUAGGGAUCCCAUUGAAUUUGUACAUUGCUUUUGAUGGGAUUACUAGAGAAACAGGAGUGUAGGAGAGCCAGAGUGACGCCAUUUUAAAGCCAAUUCCAUUUUAAAACAAGCAAGGCAAUUCCUUGCCAGUCACAGCCCAUGGUCACAGGUGUUGACAGCUAAGGAGGGAGUUUAGUAAUGCCUGCAAGGACUAACUCCUACAGCAACAAAAUGUCCAAAUGCGCCAAUAUCUAAUAACAAUAUGUGCUUUUAAAAUAAUUAGAAUCAUGCUUUGAUGUACUUACUCACUAAAAUCCCAAGGAUAGUUUACUUUAAAUCAACAAAGUAAUAAGUUUUGUCACGCUGUCAACCCACCCACACAUAGACUUAACUUAGCUUUUACAUAGAUAAGACCCCUACAUGAGAGGAGUUUAAAACAAAGACAAUGCGUUCCUCCUCUUGUUUUCUGAGGAUGCCCUACUCUGCAUCUGAGUAGCUUUCAAUAAAUGAUCUCUUCUCACUGCACUCUGUGACUCACCUGAAUUCCUUCCUGUGCAAGACUGAAAAACCCUCUUCCAGCAACAUCUUUCUGGCGAUGCACUAAGGGACCAUAAGAUGAGACUAUGUGCUGGGGAAGUUUUGUCUGCAGCACCAGUUGGCCACCUCUGGUAAAUGGGGUCCUUCUUGGCAUCCUAUGUCAUGCUUAGACAAGGAUGCUCGCCUAGAAACUCAGGUUAGAGGCUCAGCCCACAAGGUUAGAUGCCCUGGGGUAUAUCUGGAACAAUGGAAGUCUCUUUGCAAGAUGUUUGUCAGUACAUGAUCUGAACUAAUCCACCUUGUGCCCUCUGCUGGGGAUGGGAAAGCUCUACUUCUCAUCAUUUCCCAGCUCAUUGCUUUGCUGUACUGCAGCCUUGGGGCAGCCCCAAAUGGCUGGUCCAGAGGUUUCCACCUUCCAGUGGCGGAUUCUAAUGUUCUUUAUGUGUUUCUCUCUGUUCUUUUCUGCCUGCUUUGGAUCUGCUGUUACUAAUCUGCUGCCGAGUGGCAACUCUGCUUAUCUCACGGUGUUGAGGUGAGACUCACUGUUUUUGGUAUUACUAAUUCAAGGCUACCUGGAGAUUGUCUUUUCUUGUACAGUUCAGCCAGUUCUGGCUAAAAUGUAUACAUUAAAAACUCAUUUAAAACUGAAGAAAAAAAUGAUGAAAAGGUUUUUUUUUUUUUUAAACCAAACUUCCUUAAAGACUACUUUACCAAAACUUUGGUCCACAGCUUUCCUUGGAUUGCGUGUUGGAUGUCUGGGUCAUUUCCAAUUAAGAAAAGUUUAUGCUAUGGGAAACAUGUUUCUAGAAUUGUGGAAGGGUCUUAUCUAUAAAGUGCUAACAUCUGGCAAACAGUGCAGGAUCUCUUGCUUCCUCAGUUUUCCCACUCACGGAUGAGCGAGUGCGCUUAGCUGUCCCUUCCCUUCCCUUCCCGCUCUGGUUUCCUGUAUGCAAUGUGCUCAGCCUUCCAAGCCUUGGGACACACAGGGAUGCUCAUGCUCCUUUAUGUUCCCCUAGGGACUAGGGGUUAGUGGACCUCACCCAGAGGUGUGGGAUCCUUUGGGUUCUGUCUGCUGGGGAGCCUGGAGCCGGGGAUCCUCCAGGUCAGCCACCAUCCUGUUACAUGGGGCUCUUCAGCCUUUCGGGUCCCAGGGCUGCAGUGCCACCCCAGUGGAAAGCCCAUUUGAGACUCAGAGGGAUAUUUGCCAGCAUGUCCUGCUGGGUCUCCCUCGUCCCCUUCAUUGGCUGCAUAUUUGCUGUCUGUGCCUCACUAGUGAUGCCCGUCAUCCUGAGCUUGCAUGCUCUGAAGUUUAUGCCUGCCAUUUUCCUUCUCCUGGUGAUUUUCUUUCUUUGGGUUAUUUAAUUCAGCAUGUCUCUGGGCAGCAUUGGAGGCCAAAAGCCUCCCAGGAACUAGUCUUAUUGAGAAGAAAAAUAAUUUUGUCUAAUUCAGAAGUUAUCUAAAGGUCAAUUCAAAUGAUGAACUUGAAAAUAGUUACUUAUGAAGCAAGGUAGAAAGGAGCCAGUAAGUAGGGGAGCGAGAGAUGUGAAUAAAAGUUAUGGAUAUGAAGAUGUAUUUUUGGUAAGGAAGGUUAUAAAGAAUAGCAAAUAAUGUAUGAAAAAGGAUCUCGUGUGGUAAAUUUUUGUCCUAAAGUAAAAUGACUAAUGAUUAUUAGUCAUUAGCCAUUAAUAUGACUAUUAUUAUUAGUUAUUAGUCAUUAAUGACUAAAUGAUUAUUUAGGAAAGAGAGAAGGUUAGGGCAAGGCAGAAAGUCCAAGCACAUCUAAGAUGGUCUGUGUACACUGGGAUAAAGUUCGUGAAGGGGAAUUUAUGAAAGGAAUUUUGUAUAUGAUUAAGUUGGUUAUAAUUGAAAGGAAGCCAUUUAUAACAGUCUUUCUAAAAAUUGGUCGCCUACGUUAAAACAAAGUUUUCUUGAGGUACUGAUUUGCUGUGAAUGAAGUUACAAGAAAUUUUACUUUCAAUUUUAUACCCCGUUUCUCUUCUAAACUUCUCAGAUCCAUAUUUCCGACAUUCCAUUUUUUCUGUCUCACUGCUUUCAGCUUUUUCCCCCUUGAGCAGGCCUGAGAUGAUGACCUUCUCCUUCAGCAUUUUUUGUCAGCUCCUGCACCCCUUUUUUCCUCCAGUUUUAACUGUUGGAAUGACCUGAUGCUAAAGUUUUAUCUUGAAGGUCUAGAAAAGCAAUGUUUUCUUCUAGUAUAACUUGAUUUUAUAUUCUUGGCUUUUCUUGCUGUGUCUAAAUUUUCAGUGUAAUCAGAAAACUUCUCAUGCUGUUCCUAAGGGUCACAUAUGCUCAUAACCUUAAACACUGUUCCUGUGUCUGAUUGCAUUCAAGCACUUCUUUCCUCAAGUUUGUCUUCCAGGUUAUCUAAAUGGGCUUCCUGUAAGAAGAAGCGGUCUCACUGCAGAAGGUUUUCCCUGCCUUUUUAUUAGCUGGCUUAAAAAAAAACAAGAUUUUAUGUUUUUUUCACGAUAAUUCCUAUACUGUCUUUAUUAGCUUUAUGAUUGCAAAAAAACUGAAAGUUAAAAGGGUUAAGGUUUUUACCUCCAUGUGACUUUCUCUAUUGCUUGUUAAAGUCUUUAUGAUUAUUACUCUUGGUUAAGUGUAUAACUAUUACAAUGACCUGUGAUUUUAUGUUAAUAAAAUGUUUUGAGCCUUUUAACAUCUUAGAGAAAUAUCCUCAAAAUCAAAAUCUUAAAUUUAGUCUCUGAUUUAGUCUUAUUGCUGGGGCUUAUUAAGCCUAUAGAAAUUAAUCUCUGCAAGGUCAUAGACUCUUUCUAGAACUUUCUGGCAGACCAUGAAGUCCAGUAUCACCACCUCCAGCCUGAAAAUUAUAUAUUGGAAGAAAAAUCAGUUAAAGGAUUCCCUCAGCCCCCUUGAAGCUGUCCUUAUCAAGAGUUAUUAACCAAUGCUUGUGCUUAGUUAAUAACCUGUUGUAGGGCUUUGACUCCUGGACACACAUAUCUAAAGAUGGCACUGACUUCUACCAGUAUCUGACAAAAACUCAAGUUAACUGAAGGCUCGUCUUUAGACCUGGGCAAAGGGGACAACGUAAACUGCUUUCAUGAGACACAAGGACAGGACAAUUUGCUGAGGUCUGCGAGCUGCCCCUCCAGAGAAUCCCUGCUCUCCCAAAAUUUGGUCAAGAUCUCAAGUUUAUUUUGGUGUACAACUCCUUUAUUUUGGAGUUUUACUUUCUUCCAACAAGGAAGGGAAGUUUUCCUGCUUCCGUGAUAAUGGAAGGCAGGUAACUCCUUUAUGGAGUUUGAGCUCACUUCCAACAGCGAAGAUGAGAUUUUUCCUGCUUCUAGGAUGGUGGAGAGCAGUCUUCAGCCUGAGACCCAUCCCUGGGUAAGUAACUGAAUUGGGGUUUGUCUUGGCUAAAGUUAAAGUUAACAACCAGCUGGUCUUAAUUUCUUUUUACCAUUAGAGUGUUCAGUGAUCAUGUAAGUUGUGCCAUUGUUUGUUUUGCUUAAGGGUUUUUUUUUUUUUUUUGGUGUUUGUUUGUUUCUGUUUUUCCUACUGUUUCUCUUGUUGUUUCAGUCUUUUGCCCAUUGGGUUUAAUCAACUCUAUCCAACUUGAUCAACUCUGAAGGGAAGUUCCAAAUUAUGGGGAACAAGGCCUCUGAAGUGACUAAAUUCCACCCCCCGCCUCCCCUCCACACACACACACAAAAGGUGGUAUGGUUGGGGGAGAAAAACAGCCAGCAAAAGGAGAAAAAAAGGAAAGAUUUUUGAUUUUGACUACUAAAGGGGUUUUAUUUACAGAACAAGGCCACUUUUUUGCUAGCAGGCCAAACUGAAACAAUGGCAGUUGCCCCACGCUGUAGUUCCAUACCUAAGGCUCUGCUUUCUUUUCACCAUGAGAGCCUGGGUUUGGUGGGUUUGGUUCCUAAAUCAAGCCCUUUCUGGUUUGAUACUUGGUACCUCUGAAAUAGCAGCAAUUUUUUCUGACUAAAAUACGGUAAUGAAAUUUAAAUGGAUUAUUUUAAAAAGAGCUCAAUGGUUAAAAGUCAGUUUAAUUAAAAGGCUAACAUCCAAGAUGUACGUGUGUGUGUGUGUGUGUGUGUGCGUGCACGCAUAUGUGUAUGUUUGUCUUUGAAAGGUCUUCAUGUGUUUGUUUUUUGGUUGUUUUUCUCCUCUAGGACCUUGCCUUUUUUUUUUAGCAAAAGUUUUUUUCUUCUCAGUUGACUGAAUUCUGUUAUUACCUGAUUGUUUGACUAAAAUAGAUACUGCACAGAGGCUACUCUGGGGUUUUUAAGGAAGAGUGUAGUUUAGACACUUAAAAAUGUCUUUGUUUAAAACUAUUUUUUAAGUGCACUGUAAAAGCAUCACGUUGUCUAGCCUCAUAAUAAUUCACCCUUUUUGGAGACCCAGGAUUCAGUGUGGGCUCUACCCAGAGCUCAGAUAUCUGGUUAAAAAAAGAAAAACAGGUAGUCUCUAUCUAAAUAAAAUCAGUCUUCCUAUGUAAUCCAACAAUAAAUUUCUGUAAUUUUAUUACUGAGUUGGCAUCCAUCUUUAAUCUUUCUCUAGCACCACCAGACAUUUUCUCUGUGUACCUGAUAAUGUAAAUUUUGCUAUUUGACUUUCACCUGAUAUGCAGAUUUAAGGCUAUUUAGCUGACAACUGUCUAGGGUUCUGAAACAGGUUAUCAAGAAUCUGAAAGUCUAAGAUAUGAAAAAAGAGGUUUUUAUGAAUCUAUAAGAUGUACUUUUAUCAGCAUGCCUAAUAUGUCUGUAUUUAUGUGUUGUGUACACAAUGUUUCACUAUGAAAAAUAUAUAAAAGAGCUCUAAUUAAUUGGCUCAAAGUGAAAUAAUUCAAAAAGCAGCUAUAUUCAUUAAAUCAAUAUCAAUGAUUUAUACUUAAUACGUAAAUACUUUAUCAGGAAAAAAGGAAAGAUUAGUCAAAUGCUUUUUCAAGUUUGCAUAACUUAAGUAAAAUUAUUAAUAAAUGAGCUCGCUUUAAAAUUAUUGGUAAAGUAAUAUUAGAAAUGUCAGCAUACAUUUUUGUUUGCAAUUAUUAAUCAAGCAAUUUCAUACUUACCCCUGCCAAAUAGUAUAAGUUGUCAAAAUUUGGCAGAGGGUUUACAAAACUAUAAACCCGGCCCAAAACAUAAUGAUAUUUGCUUGUGUAAUCUUUAAUAAAUAAGUCAUUGAUAUUGAUUUAAUGAAUAUAGUUGCAUUUUGAAUUUAGUAAGAUUAUCAUAACUUCUAAUUCUGUGGCUUUAGGCAGUCUAGUGCACAGGCAGUAAGGAAGUUUGUUUUGAGAAAGGACUGUUAUAGUGUUUGUUUCAAAGCUAAACUAUAAACUAAGUUCCUCCCAAAGUCCAGGAAUGAACAAGGACAGCCUGGAGGUUAGAAGCAAGUUGGAGUUAGUUAGUCAAAUCUUUUUUCCCUAUCUCAGUUAUAAUUUUGCAGUGAUGGUUUCAUAACUUUAAAUCAUGACUAUCACAGUUUUCAUAAACAAUCUAGGUAAACAAGGUAAUUAGGUAAAUGUAAUGUGAUACAUACUUGUAGACAAAUUUGUCAUAAUUUAGAAUAGAAAGUUAUAUUAAAUAAUAGAUAUUUCACUAUUUAGGUAUUUUCCAAUGAAAGUAUAUUGUAGGAAAACAUUCUUGCUAAAAAAAAAAAGGUGUGUCCUUUUUAAAAAAAGGUGAACAAGUUUUAUCUAAUUUAAAGCUUAUUUAAAGGUUAUAUAUAAAACGAGGUAAAAGAACCAGAAAAUAAGAGAGAUGUAAAGAAAGUUAUAAAAAUAAAGAGGUAUUUUUUGUGUUAAGAAAGCUUAAAGAGAAAUAAUUUUAUAUGAGAAAGAAUCUUGUAUGUUAAGUUUAGUCCUAAAAUAAAAUGACUGAUUAAGAAAGAGCAUGUUCAGGACAAAAGACAAAGUCCAGGCAUGUGAUGAAUGCUCUGUAUAAGUCAUAGUAAGAGGAUUUUUUUUUUAAAAAAAAACAAAAAUUUGUAUAUGAUCAAGUUGUUUAUAAGUAAUGGGAAAUUAUAUUGCUCUUCCUAGAGAUUGGGCUUGAUGUAAAAAAAAACACUUACGCACUAAAUUAUUGGUUAGAACAAUGAAAUUUUCUUAAGGGGUUGAUUUACUCUUAACAAAUUAUAAUAGAUUUUAAUUUUUUUUACUGAAAAUUCAGCUUUUAUUGCAUCUCACCAUUUGUUGGCUUUUUCUCCCGUUUUAAAAGGCACGUUUUCCUAAAGGUCUAAGGAAACGUUUUCUUCCAACAUAAUGUUCUGUGCACUGCAGAAGGUCUUUUCUUUUGCCUUUUGGUAAAUGACCUAACAGAUUUAACAUUUUAUUGAAAUAAUUCCUAUGCCAUUAUUGUUAAAUUUGGUUUGCUUAGGAAAAGGAUAAUUUUUUUUUUUUGAGACAGAGUCUCACUCUGUUGCCCAGGCUAGAGUGCAGUGGCGCAAUCUCGGCUCACUUCAACCUCCACCUCCUGGGUUCAAGUGAUUCUUCUGCCUCAGCCUCCUGAGUAGCUGGGACUACAGGUGCACGCCAUCAUGCCUAGCUAAUUUUUGUAUUAUUAGUAGAGAUGGGGUUUCACCAUAUUGGCCAGGCUGGCCUUGAACUCCUGACCUCAUGAUCCGUCCCCCCUUGGCUUCCCAAAGUACUGGGAUUACAGGCAUGAGCCACCACACCCCGCUGAUAUUUAAUUUUUUAAAUUAAAGUUAUUACAUUUGUGUAUCUUCCUGUAUGUGCUUUUAAAGUUCUUGUGACAUUGAGUUACAGGGCUUUGACUGCUGGGUCUGAAAAGGACACCAAGUCCUGCUCAAUUUUUAAACAUUGACAGCAAUUAAAGCCCCAUCUUUGGGCCCAGUAGAAGAUGCCAAUCAAAAUCAACUGCAUUCCUGAAACACAGGGACAGAAAUUAAAGCUAUUCAACUCCUCAAGGCCCAUGGACUGUCUCGGUAGAGGAGGGUGCGUGAGAUUGUAAGGGCUGAUUUUAAAGAUAAAAUAAGUUCAAUUUCUCUAUAAAUUAAUCAUUAAUGUUGAAGGCACACUGAAGCAAGACCAGCAUAUGGGCCCCUGAGUCAAAUUAACAAGGUUUUCUUGAAGUAUUAACUGUCUCCUAUAUAAAGAUUGUAAAGGUUAUGAAAGGCUUAUGGAAGUUGUAUCUUAUGAUCAAGAUUAAAAUUUUAUAAUUUUUAAAUAAAAUUUUGAAAAACAAA